rnacentral:tRNA from 1 species
UUAAUUGAAGCCAAAGUAGAGGCUUUUCAUUGUUAAUGAAAAAAAUGAUUGAUAAUCCAAUUAAA